rnacentral:rRNA from 1 species
CACGCACACACGCGCGGCAUAUCAAUAAGCGGAGGAAAAGAAACUAACAAGGAUUCCCUUAGUAACGGCGAGUGAAGCGGGAAGAGCUCAAAUUUGAAAUCUUCAAGGUUCUACCUUGACGAAUUGUAGUUUAUAAGAAGUGUUUUCUGUUAGUGGAGUGGCAAAAGUUCUUUGGAAUAGGACAUCAUAGAGGGUGAGAAUCCCGUAUUUGGUCAUUCCUCCUAGCUUUGUGAUACACUUUCAACGAGUCGGAUUGUUUGGGAAUGCAGUCCAAAAUGGGUGGUAAAUUUCAUCUAAAGCUAAAUAUUGGCGAGAGACCGAUAGCGAACAAGUACCGUGAGGGAAAGAUGAAAAGAACUUUGAAAAGAGAGUUAAACAGUACGUGAAAUUGUCAAAAGGGAAGCGUUUGACACCAGUGUUGUUUUUCCGAAAAUCAAUUACGAAUGUUUUGUUUUUGAGGAGUUAUGACUUCAUCGGCUUGCUCCUUUCUUUACGAAACUUUCUUAAUGCACUUUUCGGUUAACAAGUCAACAUCAAUUUCUUUUGUUGUAAAAGGGUAUGAGGAAGGUGGCUUUCUUUUCGGAGAAAGUGUUUAUAGCCCUUAUACCUCUACAAUCGGAGAGAUUGAGGUCUGCAGCGUAGAUCCUUCGGGGUUAGAUACAUUUGUGCUAAGUUAUAGCUUUUUAUAGACAACUUGUUGACUAUAUUUAGUCUUGUAGCUUACUCGCUUAUGCUAAUUUUACCUACGCUUAGGAUGUUGAUAGUCACAGCGUGUAC